UACGUAGGGUCCGAGCGUUGUCCGGAGUUACUGGGCGUAAAGCGCGCGCAGGCGGCGGUAUAAGCAUGGCGUGAAAGCCCCAGGCUUAACCUGGGAGGGUCGUCGUGGACUGUACCGCUUGAGGGCGUAGGGGCUGGUGGAAUGCCUGGUGUAGUGGUGAAAUGCGUAGAGAUCAGGCGGAACACCCGUGGCGAAGGCGGCCACUGGGGCUCCCUGACGCUGAGGCACGAAGGCCAGGGGAGCAAACGGGG
rnacentral:rRNA from 1 species